AAUAGAUACCCAGGUAGUCCACGCCGUAAACGAUGAGUGCUAAGUGUUAGAGGGUUUCCCGCCCGUUUAGUGCUGCAGCUAACGCAUUAAGCACUCCGCCUGGGGAGUACGGCCGCAAGGCUGAAACUCAAAGGAAUUGACGGGGGGCCCGCACAAGCGGUGGAGCAUGUGGUUUAAUUCGAAGCAACGCGAAGAACCUUACCAGGUCUUGACAUCCUCUGCCAACCCUAGAGAUAGGGCGUUCCCCUUCGGGGGACAGAGUGACAGGUGGUGCAUGGUUGUCGUCAGCUCGUGUCGUGAGAUGUUGGGUUAAGUCCCGCAACGAGCGCAACCCUUAAUCUUAGUUGCCAGCAUUUAGUUGGGCACUCUAAGGUGACUGCCGGUGACAAACCGGAGGAAGGUGGGGAUGACGUCAAAUCAUCAUGCCCCUUAUGACCUGGGCUACACACGUGCUACAAUGGACGGUACAAAGAGCUGCGAACCCGCGAGGGUAAGCGAAUCUCAUAAAGCCAUUCUCAGUUCGGAUUGUAGGCUGCAA
rnacentral:rRNA from 1 species